rnacentral:tRNA from 1 species
GCACGCCGAGCCAGCUGGAGACGGCGACGGUCCCACACACCGUUCCCGCCGGGUUCGAUUCCCGGUUCGUGCA